GGGGCCGACCGUUCGCGUGGGAAACGAAAGGCAUUGUUGUUUUUUUAAGGGGGCAGGUCCAAAACCGAAAAGGAAAAAGAAACCGAAACUCCUUUAGAAAACCAGGAGAUGGAAAGUGUUCAGGUUGACGGUCGGUGCGGAGAAAGUGUCCUUUGGCCCCGGGCGGGAGUGACCAUUUGAACUCCUGAAUCAAAUGGCCUUCGAAGAAACACUGAAUUUCUUUUAGAAAGAGCUCUGACAAGGCUGGACUUGCAGAGUUUCCCGGAACUAUUGAGUACGGAUUAGUAUUUCUAGCACAAUGUUGAAGCACUCAGAAGACAUCCUUGCCUUGUUCCCAACUUUAGUAGAAAAGCAAUAUCUUUCACCCGGGCCUGACCCACAAACUGCACUUCAGGGAGAAGCCUGCACUGAACUAACCUGCCUCUGCACUGAACUGCCUACCUACUGUGUUUUGGCCAUCUGAGCCAGACCUUAUGAAGGAGUUCCUGGAAUCCCAUCUCAAGCAAUAGGACUGAGGUUUUCCACAUCCAAUCAGAGCCACCACAACUAUAUCCCUAUCAACAUCUUUACCAACCAAUCAGGACAGUGCCUUUUGAACCAUUCAAACUGCAAGGAUUUGGAGUCCUCAUGUGCAUAAGGAUGGAGUAAUCAGGGACCAGGGGCUGGGACUUCUGUCUAUAUAAGCCACCUCCCAUAUGGCUCAGAGAGGGUGCUUUCCCUUUCCACUGAAGACAGUGUUUCCCUGGUUGAGUUGAAACACUGAAGAUGUUUCACUGGAGCAGAGUGGAGCAGACCAGCACAGCACAAAGCUGACCGGCAAGGGGCAAAGCAGAGCAGAGUGGCCAGAGAGAGGCCUGGCCCCAAGGGCUGCCUCACAGCUGUGCUGUGUUCACAGUUGAGCUGAUUUGCACCAAAUAAAGUUCCCUUCACCACACCCCAAACUGGGAAUUCCUGUUGGCAUUGAACUGGCACCAAUGACAGUCAGUUGAGAGUACUCACAGAAAACUGUAGGUUCAGUGCUUCUCCCAUGUCAUCAGCCUGAUAAUUUAGAACUUCUU